rnacentral:rRNA from 1 species
GACGAACGCUGGCGGCGUGCCUAAUACAUGCAAGUAGAACGCUGAAGGAGGAGCUUGCUUCUCCGGAUGAGUUGCGAACGGGUGAGUAACGCGUAGGUAACCUGCCUGGUAGCGGGGGAUAACUAUUGGAAACGAUAGCUAAUACCGCAUAACAGUAGAUGUUGCAUGACAUUUGCUUAAAAGGUGCAAUUGCAUCACUACCAGAUGGACCUGCGUUGUAUUAGCUAGUUGGUGAGGUAACGGCUCACCAAGGCGACGAUACAUAGCCGACCUGAGAGGGCGAUCGGCCACACUGGGACUGAGACACGGCCCAGACUCCUACGGGAGGCAGCAGUAGGGAAUCUUCGGCAAUGGACGGAAGUCUGACCGAGCAACGCCGCGUGAGUGAAGAAGGUUUUCGGAUCGUAAAGCUCUGUUGUAAGAGAAGAACGAGUGUGAGAGUGGAAAGUUCACACUGUGACGGUAUCUUACCAGAAAGGGACGGCUAACUACGUG